GAGAGUACAGCUCAAGUGGUAGAGCGUGUGCUUAGCAUGCACAAGGUCCUGGGUUCAAGCCCCAGUACUGCCU
rnacentral:tRNA from 1 species